GAACCGCCGAACCGUGCCACAUUUCCGUUCCUUCUGGCCUCGCCCUCAGGGGUCGACCGGCGGCAGAGCGCGGCGCCUCCUGUGCUGAAGAAAGCUCCCUGGCCUCCAGAAACUCAGUCAGUGGUGGGAGGGCCGGAACAGACCCGCGCAGUUAACCAGAUGAUGAUGUUGCUGUAGUAUAGCUUGGAGAGUGCAGAGAAGGAAGCAAGCAAUGCCAGCAAGGAGGAAUCCAGAAGGCUUCCAGGAGAAGUCACCAUUUGUGAUUUGGGCUUGCAUCAGGAGGAGGAAGUUGACAGCCAGGCCCUGCCCUCAGCCUCUGGCACCCCACGUCUCCAAGGCCUGAGCUCCUAUCCCUGGCCUACUGGCUGAGCAGGACGAGAGCCGGAUGAAGACAGGAUGAGCCGUCACCAGGGAUCCUCACCUCGGGGAACUGAGGCCUUAGAUGUGGCUGGGACUGGAGUCAACACUAGAAAGACUGGCAAGAGAAGGGGUCUGCAUUCUGGGACCCCAAACCAAGAUACCAAGAUGAGUCUUCAACAAACUGAUAAUCAGGUUGAGAGGUGAAAUCCACAGAGGGACAUGGGAAUGCUGGGAUUAAUGUCCCCAGUACUACUCUCAACCAAGAAGCACAGGAGUUAGUGGGUAAACAACCUGCUCCUCACCUUGGCUCUCCCGCCCCUUGGUGGGACAACCUGAAGCUGCAGGGCACAGCCCCUGAGAAUGUCGCCAGAAGGCUAGAGCCCCUGUGCCAACCAGACUUGUGCUUCCCAGGAUCUUCUCCCAAAUAAACCACUAUUCCCGAGUCCUGGCCUCAGGGUCUGCUUUAGAGGAACGCAAAUGAACCCAGGGUCCCAAGCUUUGCUACUACCGGCUAUGUGACCAUGAACAAAUGAAAUAACAUGUCUGAGCCUCAA